GGAGAUUUGGCUCAGUGGUAGAGCGCUUGCCUAGUAAGCGCAAGGCCCUGGGUUCGGUCCCCAGCUCCG
rnacentral:tRNA from 1 species